UAAUAACGCAUAAAAAGAUAGUGUACUUAUCUAUGCAUUAAGAUAUUUACUCCCUACUGAAAUUAUUGGAAAAAUGUGGACCUCAUCCAUCCACUCAUUUACAACAUUUCUUUGACGUGACACCAAGUUUUUGAUCUUGUUUUUGCUGUUUCGUUCAAUGGAAGGAUUUUGGUACAUUUAUUGCUAAGUCGAUUUGACACGAAUGUUCAUUCUUUUAUGGAAUAAAAUAUGUCACGAAUAAUUAAUCAUGUUAUGUUAGACGAAGGGAUUGACUUUGUGCAAAGGUUGCAAUUGCCUAGAAAAUGAGUUAUCAUUAUGACGAUUGGGUUUGUAUUUUGUACCCAGACAAACUUUGUGAUGGGAGAACUUCCCCCAACUAAAACUUCUAUUUACAGGAUUGUGCAACUACAAAUUGCACCUGUUUGGACGGAUCAGGACCAAAGAUGGAUUUUCACGUAAGCAGUUGCCGUAUGAUUAACCAUGGAUCAGAAUGGAGAGAGGGCUAUAAUCUAAGGGGAGUUGUUCUAGGGAGGAAACAUCACAGGGUGCGUCAUAUCGCUCUUCAUGAGACAGUCACUUUUUUCAAGUCAACAUGGACAUUAUUAACCAAACGUACAUAUAAUCACUGUAAAAUCACUGACGCGUUAUGACGCAUGGAAACCAGGAUUUCUCGACUUUAAGCAUCUAGCAAUAAGCAAGAUUAUUUGACACUUUAUCAGUCUCAGGGUCCUUUGACUGUUUCCUUGGAGGAUUGUCUAGAAAUCUAUGUCAGAAAUCCAUGUCUAGAAAUCCUCCAAGGAAACAGUCAAAGGACCCUGAUCAGUCUAUAAGGUUACGACCAAGAUUCCUAAACUUUUUAGCUUGUUUCCGUGGAAGAAAUGUAUUAGGAUAAUGUAAUAAGGUUGUCCAAGGACGGGCCGUGUUUUAAAAAUUAUUAAAAAUUUGCGAGUUGGGGACAGGUACACAUUUUUUGGCGUUGUCACCCGUUGUUGGGUGAGUGAGAAAUUAUUUU